UACGAAGGUGGCAAGCGUUGUUCGGAUUCAUUGGGCGUAAAGGGCGCGUAGGCGGCGGGGUCAGUCGGGUGUGAAAUCUUGGGGCUUAACCCCGAAACGGCACUCGAAACUGCCCGGCUGGAGGGCCGGAGAGGAGAUCGGAAUUCACGGUGUAGCAGUGAAAUGCGUAGAGAUCGUGAGGAAGACCCGUGGCGAAGGCGGAUCUCUGGACGGCUAACUGACGCUGAGGCGCGAAGGCCAGGGGAGCAAACGGG
rnacentral:rRNA from 1 species